rnacentral:rRNA from 1 species
UACGUAGGGGGCAAGCGUUGUCCGGAUUUCUUGGGCGUAAAGAGCGUGUAGGCGGUUUGGUAGGUCCGCUGUGAAAACUCGAGGCUCAACCUCGAGACGCCGGUGGAAACCAUCAGACUAGAGUCCGGAAGAGGAGAGUGGAAUUCCUGGUGUAGCGGUGAAAUGCGCAGAUAUCAGGAAGAACACCCGUGGCUAAGGCGGCUCUCUAGUACGGUACUGACGCUGAGACGCGAAAGCGUGGGGAGCGAACAGG